rnacentral:rRNA from 1 species
UACGUAGGGAGCAAGCGUUGUUCGGAUUUACUGGGCGUAAAGGGCGCGUAGGCGGCAAUUCAAGUCACUUGUGAAAUCUCCGGGCUUAACUCGGAACGGUCAAGUGAUACUGCUUUGCUAGAGUGCGGAAGGGGCAAUCGGAAUUCUCGGUGUAGCGGUGAAAUGCGUAGAUAUCGAGAGGAACACCUGAGGUGAAGACGGGUUGCUGGGCCGACACUGACGCUGACAGCGCGAAAGCGUGGGGAGCGAACAGG